CACUCGAUAGCGAAAGGCAUCGCGUCUGCUGCGCCUGUUGACUUUAUUAUGUCCGCAGAAGUUGCUCGUUCGAACCGGGCUCGAGUGG